rnacentral:rRNA from 1 species
CUGGCUCAGAACGAACGCUGGCGGCGUGCUUAACACAUGCAAGUCGAGCGCGAACGUACUUUCGGGUACAAGUAGAGCGGCGCACGGGUGAGUAACACGUGAGUGACCUAUCCAUAGGUUUGGGAUAACCGUUGGAAACGGCGGCUAAUACUGGAUAAGACUACGUACGGUUGGUAUGUAGGAAAAGCGGGGGACUUUUCGGAGCCUCGCGCCGAUGGUUGGGCUCGCGUCCCAUCAGCUAGUUGGUGUGGUAAAGGCAUACCAAGGCAAAGACGGGUAGCUGGUCUGAGAGGAUGAUCAGCCACACUGGGACUGAGACACGGCCCAGACUCCUACGGGAGGCAGCAGUGGGGAAUAUUGCGCAAUGGGCGAAAGCCUGACGCAGCGACGCCGCGUGGAGGAUGAAGGCCUUCGGGUUGUAAACUUCUGUCAAGUGGGACGAAAGGGUAGUAUAUGAAUAAUAUAUGAUUCUGACGGUACCAUUAGAGGAAGCACCGGCUAACUCUGUGCCAGCAGCCGCGGUAAGACAGAGGGUGCAAGCGUUGUUCGGAAUUACUGGGCGUAAAGGGCGCGUAGGCGGUGAUGUGUGUCUGAUGUGAAAUCCCUUGUUUUAAGUGAGGAACUGCGUCGGAAACUACAUUGCUUGAGUCUCAGAGGGGGAAGCGGAAUUCCUGGUGUAGAGGUGAAAUUCGUAGAGAUCAGGAGGAACACCUGUGGCGAAGGCGGCUUCCUGGCUGAAGACUGACGCUGAGGCGCGAAAGCGUGGGUAGCAAACAGGAUUAGAUACCCUGGUAGUCCAUGCUGUAAACGAUGAGUACUAGCUGUUGGAGGUAUUGACCCCUUCGGUGGCGCAGCUAACGCGCUAAGUAC